UACGGAGGAUCCGAGCGUUAUCCGGAUUUAUUGGGCGUAAAGCGAGCGCAGGUGGUUUAUUAAGUCUGGUGUAAAAGGCAGUGGCUCAACCAUUGUAUGCAUUGGAAACUGGUAGACUUGAGUGCAGGAGAGGAGAGUGGAAUUCCAUGUGUAGCGGUGAAAUGCGUAGAUAUAUGGAGGAACACCGGUGGCGAAAGCGGCUCUCUGGCCUGUAACUGACACUGAGGCUCGAAAGCGUGGGGAGCAAACAGG
rnacentral:rRNA from 1 species